rnacentral:lncRNA from 1 species
CUUCUAAUUCUUUGGGCAGACAUGUCCUCUUUUUGGGCAUGUUCGCCCCUUUUGGCAGAUUACGUGAUUUGCGUCAGUGGCACACCCUUUUACCAUGCCCAUUGACUUCCUGCUUGGCUGGACACUGCUGUUAGGGGUUAUGGAUUUACUUGAAAGAUGAAAAAACAUAAAUUAGAGAGAGAUUAGCCUAGGGUAUGUGUUUUCUUAUAGCUGCUGUUUUCUUUCUCUCCAGCACCAUCUCCAUCAGAUACAUGACGCUUGAGAGUGUUUUUCUGGUUUUGGUCGAUAUGAUUCUGUAAUUAGGCCUGUCAUAAUUGUCAGCACCAGGCCCACUGGGCUCUUAA